AGACAGACAGAGGAGUGUAUGAGAGGGACAGAGGGGUGUAUGGGAUGUACAGAUGGACUGAGGGCUGCAUGGGAUGCAGAGACAGACAGGGGGUGGAUGGGAUGCACAGACUGAGGGUCUAUUGUGUGCACAGACAGUAUCAGGAAUGAUCCCUGAGCCCCUCUUGGUAUCUGCAGUCCCUGGCAGCGCAUUGGAGCUGAUUCCCUAGUGCGUGGGGGGACGCGCCCAAUCCCUCACUGCCUCUUCUGGCCAGGCCUAGCUCUGGGACGAUUCUUGUCUCCAGCCACUCUGAUGGCCCAGACCCCCAGUUCAGCCAGUUGUCCUCCAUCCCUGCAAGUUGGGUGGAGCAUUUCCUGUCAUAUGCACUUGCUGAGCCCGUCCUGAAAGCGAGUUCCAGCCUAAGCAAACGCCCCCAGGGGUGAAACCCAACUGGGCGUGGCAGUCCUGCCCUCCACUCUCGCUCCCCCCAGAGUAACCCACUGGAGUCCCUGGGGCUGGCUCUCCUCUCGCUCACCCGGUGUAAAUCAGGAGGAACCCACUGGAGUCCCUGGGGCUGGAUCUCCUCUCGCUCACCCGGUGUAAAUCAGCAUAACCCCGCUGGAGUCCCUGGGGCUGGCUCUCCUCUUGCUCACCCGGUGUAAAUCAGGAGUAACCCACUGGAGUCCCUGGGGCUGGAUCUCCUCUCGCUCACCCGGUGUAAAUAAGGAUAACCCCGCUGGAGUCCCUGGGGCUGGCUCUCCUCUCGCUCACCAGGUGUAAAUCAGGAGUAACCCACUGGAGUCUCUGGGGCUGGUUUCCCCUCACCUCGCAGAGAUCAGGAGUAACCCCCCUGAAGUCCCUGCGGCGGGCUCCCCUCUGGUUACAAAUGUAA